GGAGAUAUGGCUCAGUUGGUAGAGUGUUUGUCUAGCAUGUAUAAGUCCCUGGGUUCAAUCCCCAACACCACCA
rnacentral:tRNA from 1 species